CGCGGGGUGGAGCAGUCUGGUAGCUCGUCGGGCUCAUAACCCGAAGGUCACAGGUUCAAAUCCUGCCCCCGCAA
rnacentral:tRNA from 5 species